CGCAAACUCUUCGUGUGUUAUUUGCAUAACAAUGAGCCGCGCUGAUCUCUGACACGCCCACUCAAGCGUUUCUGGAAACGAGCAGGAUCACAACACGCCAACAAUGACGCAACAUCACCUCACAGCAAGAUCUCAUGUGUCCAAACUCCAAACAGUCCUUAUGAGCUUUUCUCUUGCCUUUCAAUGGCCGUGGCGCUCUACAAGUCUCAACUUCACCUGUUGAGCCAGAUCUGUUGUUUUAUUCCACCUGCCAAGGAUUAUGCUAUAUGAGGACUGUCAGCGUCUCUUUGAUGUAACUCUUGGAUGGAGUGGAAGUCAACAGCAAUGAUUUCAACAUGUCUCUAAUCUGACAGUCGGCGUUUUGUGAACUGGAGCUGCUUUGUAGCUUUCAAUCAUGGAUCAGCUUUUCUGAAUUAAGGACUUUGGCUGUAAAACAAAAUUAAGUGUGGAUACAAGCUUUCAUUCACAGUGUUAGUCAUGAUGGUUGAUAAUGAAAUGAGUUAAAUGUGUUCUGUUUUUUUGGGGGUUUUUUUGGCCCCCACUGAAAAAUGUUCUGCUGCCUAAAAGUCCUAAAUAUGAAUAACCUCACUAAGAGUGCAUUACAUGUUUAUCUCUCAAAACAAAUCAUACUUAACAGACAGGACUUGUCUUGUGCUUUGCUGUGUUAUCUCAGAGAAAGGUAUGCAUGAAGAUGAAAUCUCACUGACGCAGAGCUAUCUGUUUAUUUGAUCGACUGCUUUCUUCAGCUGCAGGAGCAUUAAGAGGUCCACAAUAGGAUCGAUGAGUUAUCUGCCUGUCUCCUGCUCCAUCCCGCUUUCUUGCUUUUUUCCCCCCUCUUUUUCUUUUUCUCAUUGUCUCACAAGCUGUUGUGCAGAUUUCCCUCAGUUCAGAAGGCCUUGUGUUAGAUCCAGCCUUUCUGAACUCUUUUAAUCUUUAGAGCAGAGGUCAGCUAGUGGGUCACCAGAAACAGGUCACAGGUCUGUUCUGAGAGAGAAACAAAAGUAAAAAACAAUAUUAUGUAUAAAAAAAAAAUACUUCAUGGCUUAUGUUUAAGAAUUAUUAUUAAUAAUAUAACAACAUUUUUCGGAAAAAAAUCAAUAGCAUAAACAUGCAGAAAUCCAUUUGUUAUCAUGUGACAAGGCAUUAAAACUAAUACUUAAAAAUGAAAAUUCUGUCAUCAUUUGCCCACCCUCAUGUUGUUCAAAACCUGUCUGAAAUUCUUUCUUCUGUUGAAUACAAAAGAAGAUAGUUUUUAAGGAUUUGUUGGUGACCAAACGGUUGACAGUAGGCAUUGACUUCCACAGUAAGGCAAGAGGGGGGGCAGAAACGGUUAAGUUACCAACAGUCUUCGAAAUAUUUUUCAAAAUAAAAAAUAUUUGUCUUCAAAAGAAACAAGAAAUGCAUACAGGCUUGGAACAGCACAAGGUUGCAUGUUUAUUUUAUUUUAUUGUUACAUUU